rnacentral:rRNA from 1 species
AACGUAGGAGACAAACGUUAUCCGGAGUUACUGGGCGUAAAGGGCGUGUAGGUGGUUUCGUAAGUCUGGCGUGAAAUAUCUCGGCUUAACCGAGGCAGGUCGUCGGAUACUGCGGAACUGGAGGACGGUAGAGGCGUGUGGAAUUCCCGGUGUAGCGGUGAAAUGCGCAGAUAUCGGGAGGAACACCGGUGGCGAAGGCGGUUCUCUGGGCCUUACCUGACGCUGAGGAGCGAAAGCGUGGGGAGCGAACAGG